rnacentral:rRNA from 1 species
ACGCUCGACACCUACGGGAGGCAGCAGUGGGGAAUAUUGCACAAUGGGGGAAACCCUGAUGCAGCGACGCCGCGUGAGUGAAGAUNUUCGUAUAUAANCUNUAGACAGCAGGGAACAAAAUGGAACGGUUACCUGGACCUAAACGAACGGCCCCGGCUAACGUACGUGCCGUAGGACACGCCGCGGUAAUCUGGAGCGGGCUGGCAAGGC